AAAGCACCUGACACGGAACAAGUUUACCCACUAAGGCGGGAACCCGCGCCAGAUGCUCCUCCGGUUGGUUGCCUCCUUUGCACUUCCGGGUUCCGGACCAGCCAUCUUUACUGCGCAUCCUCAGACGGGACUUUCUGUCUGAGAAGCCCGCUGAAUUUUGGGAGUUGUAGUCGUUCUCCGCUGCUAUUCAUAAGGAUCAGUCUGCAGAAGGACAUCAUGCUUGGCAGAGUACAGGGUCAGCGGAAAAGAGGAAGACCCUCAAUGAGGUGGACUGACACAGUGGCUGCAACAAUGGGCUCAAGCAUAACAACGAUUGUAAGGAUGGCGCAGGACUGGGUAGUGUUUCAUUCUGUUGUGCAUAAGGGUCGCUAUGAGUGGGAACCGACUCGACGGCACCUAACAACAAGUCAUUCUCCACGGAGAGAGGGACUUCGGUGACAGAGGUUCUGGAGCCGGAACUUUUAGGAUAGUCAGUCACAGUAGGAUAAACUUCCCUUUCUCUCCGAUUUAGGGAAAAAUAACGAAUCCCCAGCCUACGGCGCGGUGACGUCUGCCCUAGCCGGGCAGAUUCUCUCGUAGUUACCCCUCCGAAGUGGACCGCGCGCCCCCUAGAGCCUGGAGCUGCCCUCUCCUCUUAGCAGAUGUGUUGACCAAGCUCAGGUAGGGGCCGGAGGCGCACCGCGAGGCCGGAACGGCAGAGGAUGCGGCAGAUUUGGCCAUGACCAAGGACGCAGUGGGCACGGGGGACGAGCCUCCGACGUCCUGUUUGUGACCUCCCGGAGGCGUGAUACAACCCCUGAGGAGCGCCGGAAGGCUAGGAAGGGGUACCAGCCUGUGGGGAGGUAUCGCCUGCCUAGCACCUCUACCUUGACAGAACCCACCCUCUGUUCUUCCUUCUCCCUGGGCCACACCUUUCCUGUCCGAGCAAAGGCUUCAGCCACCUUGCGGUUCCGCCCUCCGUAGCAGGUAGUGAUGAGGUCAGCAACACCACAGCUCUCCAAGAAGGUGGCCGAGGACACAGGGCCGCUGCAGAAGAGCUUGGCGAAGGCAAUCAUCUCCAUGAGCCCCAGUCGGAUCACCGCCGCCUUGGUGUUGUCACCAAAGCCCAGCCCAUCGCAGAAGCCAGCGCCCACAGCCACUAUAUUCUUUGAGGAGUAGAAGUCAUGAGUGAGAAGAGGAUUCCUCAUUAUUUGGAGCCUUCAGCACCUGCCUCAUGCUCCUUACAUCAGCCAUGGCACAUCCACUGAAUAAGUGGCCCUUGAGCUGGUCACAGAUCUUGCCGAUGAACUGAUGGGGCACCACAAAGAUCAAGAUGUCAGCAUCUGCUGCAGCCUGGACCACAUCUGGGACAGCCACCUGUUGGGGUGAGCAGGUGCUUGUGGGAGUGACGACCUCCUCUCCCAGCCCCUAUGGAACCCUAUUCAGGAGAUCUGAGAACCAAAGACUGAGGCUAGUGGAAGAGAAGAAAGGGAGGUUUGAGGACUAAAUCUGGAAGUGGCUGAACUUGGAGGAACAAGAUAUUCAAUUCCCUUUUCCCAGCCAUUACUCCCUCUCAGCUCCCUGAGCUCUUUGAGGACUCCUGGAAACCUCCUCCCAGCUCUCUCCUAGCCCUUGGCUGUGGGACAGUGAGGGAGGCCAAAGGACGCCCCAGCUUGGCAGAAGGUAGAGACUGGGUAAGAUUUCAUCACCCUGCUCCUUAGGGCCCCUAACUGGGAAGAGCAACCCUGAGGCCUUCCUGCUCCCUCCCCGGCUCCCCCUUUCCAGGUGGUGAGAGAGCCACAUGGAUUUGACUAAAGACCUUAAGUCCAAGUAGCAGCCUCCAAGCCUGCUAACCCAGUGAAUGAGUAACAGGAUUAAAGCUCGAGGUGGGCACUACCUGGAGCCCAAGUCUGGGAGCUCCGAGAACCAAUCUUUGGUUGCCAUGGAGACCAACUUCCUCAUCCUCUCCUCCCUUUCCCACCUGGGAGCCUGUAAGGAGGGAGAAAGGUGCAUUCAGGUUCUCCUUAGUCCCAGAAAGAGACCAGAGAAGCCGCUUGGGGGCUGUGUUUUUUGAGUGCUCUGCGGGAGCAGCCCUCCUGAGAUGCUUCCCAAGUCCAGCUCUCACCUGAGAUGGCCCCCUCUCAGCAAGAAGCAACUGGUGAGUAAGGUGUGUGUUCUGACUCUCCUCAGCCUUCCCUCCCUCCAGCUUCCUCCCUCCCUUGCCAGGUGUUGGGGCUUACCACAUUGGGGGGCAGCUU